rnacentral:pre_miRNA from 1 species
AGAUGAUGAUGGAGAAGAUGACGAUGAAGAGGAUGAUGAUGAUGAUGAUGAUAAUUAUUAUUAUUGUUAUUUUUUCAGUUACUGUCAUCAUCAUCAUUUUCUUCAUCGUCAUCUUCUCCAUCG